GAUGUUUUGAAAAUUAGUAGGAAAGGGCAACCAAGCCCUUGGUGACUUAAAGAGUAAGUAUAAUUAAAUGAGGGGUAUUGUGGUAAUUGAAUAAUAGUUGAUAAAUAUAAAUAGAAAGAAAAUAAAACAAAAGAACAAAAGAGGGAGCUGUGUUUUUUUGAGAGCAAACGUAAGAGAGGGAGAAGGAAGAAGAAGAAGAGAAAAGAGGGGAAAAGAAGGGAAAGGGAAGAGAUUGAGAAGAAAUAACUUUAAAGGUUCUCCUAACGAUCCUCAAUAGGAUUUUCGGGUCUUUCGUCUGACGUUCCUUUAGUUCUAUAUUUUCCGGGUGAGUGGGAUAAUCUUUAAUAUGCAUAUAAUAUAAGUAAAUAUGUAUGUUGAUUAUAUGAUGAGUACGAUUAGUUAAUCUCUUGAAUAUUUAUAUUUAUAUAUUUUGCUUUGUUUUUCGAGUACUCAUCUAUUCUUGAAAUUUGCACUCGCAUUUUAUCGAGCUAAAUUCUAUUUGAUAUGAUAUACGUUUCCUUGAUGAUUCUGUAAAUAUCUAUUAUGCCUUGAUAUAGGACUUGUCAGUAACUCCAUGCUAACGGAGAGUAGUUAGCCUAUGUGCACAUAGUAUUCUGUAUACCUAGCUGAUGAGAGAAGCAUCAGCCUGCGGCGACUGAUCAUCCCAUAGUGGUCACCUUCGGGUGUCAUCUGGUCACUUUUGAGUGUCAUCUGGUCACCCUCGGGUGUCAUCUGGUCACCUUCGGGUGUCAUCUGAUCUCUGACAUGUAUUCCACUACGUUAUGAUAAUAUGUUCAGUAUGUAUAUAAUAUGGUAUAUG